GUAUUUAUUUGCCUAGUUCGUGUUUGCUACUUUGUAGACAAAUCUCAAUUCUUAAUCAAGAUCGGACAGGAUGUGCUACAUGAUGUACUUAAAAGGAUACUUCUUUCAUAAUAUAGUGAUAUUCAUCGCCUAUUUUCAUAGAAAUUGUUUUGACAGGAUUUGUGAUAGAGCAGGAGUCCAUGUCCAUUGAUGUAAUAAGGAAGGCAUACCAAGCAACAGAAGUCACAAAAUUUGUAACACAAUUUGAAGUGGACCUUUUGGUUAUGCUCAAUUGGAUUUUGUUGUUGUCGUUAGUAUUUGAAUGAAUAACUUACAACCGAUGCUAAGAAAAUACAUUGACUGAGUACUUGCUCAUAUCAAUAGGGUUUUGGCCGACUAUCCUUAGUUGCAAGCUCCGCUGCACAGUCUGCUGCUAAUGUUGUUCAAGCAGGAACAAAGGAGCUGUCAUCCAAGCGUCUUUCAGAUAUUUUGAAGGUAAAUGGAUGUAUUCAGGAACUCCAACUAAACAGUUCAGGGUGCAAGGGUUAUUGCAGAUAUGCUGAAAGAAAAUCAAACUUUACGUGCACCGGAACUUAACAAUAAUAUGAUUGAAUAUUCUGGUUUUGCAAGUCUUGCUGGAGCACUAGUUGAGAAUAGGGCAAUUCGAUCUAUACAUCUCAAGCUAAUAAGAUUUACACACACUUAGAUUUUCUAUCCAUGCAGUUCUUGCUUGCAGAUUUAAUUUCUUCAUCAGAUCUGUUGGCUUUCUAGUAUUUAUUGAUUGUACUACUUCUCAGCAAUUAUGUAAAACUAUAUUUCUUCUUGUUUAGGAAAAAUAACACUUCUAGAUAUUGGCAACAAUGAGAUUGGUCCCAAAGGCGCCUUUAGCAUCGCUGAGUUUGUUAAGAAAACUAAGUCCUUGCUAUGGCUGAAUCUUUACAUGAAUGACAUUGGCGAUGAGGUGUGGUUAUUG